UGAUGGUUGACUUCUUCUGAGCAAGCAUCACAGGAGAACCAGAUGGGGUCUGCAUGGCCUUUUUGCCCAAGUCCUGAAGUCACAGUCUGGAAAUUCACUUCUGUUACUUGAAUGCGGCAUGGUAUACAUGGUUAGUCACUAUGGCCAGCCGAGAUUCAAGAUGAGCCCUUCUCUUUCCAUGCCUCCGAAUCCCGUGGGUCGGGAAAGGUGGCGCCCAACGUGGGGCACGAAAAGAACGAAGGAACCGCUGAAGGACCAGCUGUGGUGAGCCGGCAAGUAAAGUAAAGUAAGGACGCGGAAGAGCCCCGAUGGGUUCCUGCUCGAUUGGUUCGGUUUGUCAAUACACCUGACCCUGCUAACCUUGAUGACACAAGCAUCCCAGAUGUCAGUACGAUGGGCGAUAGUGCAUCAGCUGCCAAUGUUGCUUCUGCUUUACCAACACCGCAAGAUAUGAAUGGACAUUUAUGAAAUGGACUUUUUACGCUUAGUCAGCAGUCAGCUCAUGUAAGAAGAAAUAGACACACUUUUGUUAACUGCUCACAUACCUUGUAACCCUCUGUACAGUUUUAUUUGUGUUACCCCUGUUAAGGGUGAGGGUGUCAUUGCCUUGUUUAGAGGACUCCUCUCAGAGUUGCAAGCUUGGGGCAGGGUGAUAGCCUUAGCUCUUGGCUGUUUGUGCCUUCAGUGUAUGGUUUCUCCGUCAGCUAUGGAAGCGAAACAAAGAACGUGCUAUUGUGGUCAGGCAAGUACUUGGCGCCAUGGUACUUGACCAGGACUCCCCAGUGGCAUCCGGAUGGGUCAACUUAGCCCUAGAGAACCUGUGAGCCAAAGACGGGUAAGAGCGUAGCCCGUCCAGACCAACCUAAGACAGCGGUCCGGACCAAAUGCGCCGGAUUAGCGAU